rnacentral:rRNA from 1 species
GCGAAUCAAUAGGAGCUUGCUCCUGUUGGUUAGCGGCGGACGGGUGAGUAACACGUGGGCAACCUGCCUGUAAGACUGGGAUAACACCGGGAAACCGGUGCUAAUACCGGAUAAUCCUUUUCCUCUCAUGAGGAAAAGCUGAAAGUCGGUUUCGGCUGACACUUACAGAUGGGCCCGCGGCGCAUUAGCUAGUUGGUGAGGUAACGGCUCACCAAGGCGACGAUGCGUAGCCGACCUGAGAGGGUGAUCGGCCACACUGGGACUGAGACACGGCCCAGACUCCUACGGGAGGCAGCAGUAGGGAAUCUUCCACAAUGGACGAAAGUCUGAUGGAGCAACGCCGCGUGAGCGAUGAAGGCCUUCGGGUCGUAAAGCUCUGUUGUUAGGGAAGAACAAGUACCGGAGUAACUGCCGGUACCUUGACGGUACCUAACCAGAAAGCCACGGCUAACUACGUGCCAGCAGCCGCGGUAAUACGUAGGUGGCAAGCGUUG